GAUGAACGCUGGCGGCGUGCCUAAUACAUGCCAGUCGAGCGAACGGACGAGAAGCUUGCUUCUCUGAUGUUAGCGGCGGACGGGUGAGUAACACGUGGAUAACCUACCUAUAAGACUGGGAUAACUUCGGGAAACCGGAGCUAAUACCGGAUAAUAUUUUGAACCGCAUGGUUCAAAAGUGAAAGACGGUCUUGCUGUCACUUAUAGAUGGAUCCGCGCUGCAUUAGCUAGUUGGUAAGGUAACGGCUUACCAAGGCAACGAUGCAUAGCCGACCUGAGAGGGUGAUCGGCCACACUGGAACUGAGACACGGUCCAGACUCCUACGGGAGGCAGCAGUAGGGAAUCUUCCGCAAUGGGCGAAAGCCUGGCGGAGCAACGCCGCGUGAGUGAUGAAGGUCUUCGGAUCGUAAAACUCUGUUAUUAGGGAAGAACAUAUGUGUAAGUAACUGUGCACAUCUUGACGGUACCUAAUCAGAAAGCCACGGCUAACUACGUG
rnacentral:rRNA from 1 species